rnacentral:rRNA from 1 species
UCCCUCCCGGUAAGGGGGCCUGCGGAAGGAUCAUUACCGAGUGAGGGCCCUCUGGGUCCAACCUCCCACCCGUGUCUAUCGUACCUUGUUGCUUCGGCGGGCCCGCCGUUUCGACGGCCGCCGGGGAGGCCUUGCGCCCCCGGGCCCGCGCCCGCCGAAGACCCCAACAUGAACGCUGUUCUGAAAGUAUGCAGUCUGAGUUGAUUAUCGUAAUCAGUUAAAACUUUCAACAACGGAUCUCUUGGUUCCGGCAUCGAUGAAGAACGCAGCGAAAUGCGAUAAGUAAUGUGAAUUGCAGAAUUCAGUGAAUCAUCGAGUCUUUGAACGCACAUUGCGCCCCCUGGUAUUCCGGGGGGCAUGCCUGUCCGAGCGUCAUUGCUGCCCUCAAGCACGGCUUGUGUGUUGGGCCCCCGUCCCCCUCUCCCGGGGGACGGGCCCGAAAGGCAGCGGCGGCACCGCGUCCGGUCCUCGAGCGUAUGGGGCUUUGUCACCUGCUCUGUAGGCCCGGCCGGCGCCAGCCGACACCCAACUUUAUUUUUCUAAGGUUGACCUCGGAUCAGGUAGGGAUACCCGCUGAACUUAAGCAUAUCAAUAAGGCCGGGAGGAUC